UCUGGACUUCCCCAACAUCGGGAACAAUCUUCCUGCAUCUAAACCACCUUUGAAUCUGUCCUCUGCCUGACCAACAUGCCCAGCAUCUCUGUGACCCUCUAACAGAAGUGUAUCAGCUGGCUUGGACAUGUCCACAGGAUGGGAAAUGGACGCAUCCUCAGAGAUGUGGUGUACGGUGAGGUCACCAAUGCACGGUGGUGGAGGCCAAUACCAGAGUGGCAGUUCAGUAACUUUUGCAAUGUGUAUGGGUACGGAGGGACAUGGAACUUGUGCUGGCGUGUCAGAGUUGGUUUUUCCAUUGUGUCUGACAUAUUAUUUUUUGCUGUAUCUUAACUGGCCUGUAAAUUCAACAACACACUGAUAAAAUGUUCAGUAUUAUUAAUUAAAUGCUACUGUAGAACACUGUCCACAGUGGAACCAAAGACGCAGUCCAUAAUAUCUCGUAGUUGUGAGUGUCUGGAAUAGACUGUGGGGUGGGCUGGUGGUUGAGGCAGGCACGAUAGUGGCAUUUCAGCAACUUUUGGAUACAAAUAUGGAUACACAGGGAAUAGAGGAAUAUUGAAUUUGUGCAGUUGGUCUGGGCAUUAUGUUUAGCACAAACAUUGUGAGCCGAAGGACCUGCCCUUUAACUGUUCUGUUCUAAUUAUUUAAUUGUCAUAUGUACAGGCAACAGGCAAUUUAAAUUAUUUUCUUGUUGUAGAUUAACAAGCCUGUAAUUGCAACAACACAAAAAUGCAUUAAUCAAAAUGUCAGUAAAUUAAGCGUCUUGAUACCAAUGUAAAAACUGUCUGUAAUGCAACUCAAGACUCAGUCUGUAGUCCUUCUUCAUUGUUCAUAGUUGUGGUUAGUGUUGGGCAAUGUUUAAGAGCCUGAUGGUUGCUGGGAAGAAGCUGUUCCUGAACCAGGAGGUUGUGUUUUUUAAGCUACAGUACCUUGUUGCUGAUGGUAAGUGAAAUAUUGAGAGUGUGGUCAGGGUGGUGUGUGUCUUUGACAUUAGCUACCUUUAGGAUGCAGCAUCUCCUGUAGAUCCCUUUGAUGGUGGGGAGAUCACGGCCCGACCGCCAGCUACAGCAGCCAAGAUCGCCCCUGUCAACAGACGUCUAGGGGCCCCUGACCGCGGGAGAGCAAAGAAGGGAAGAGAUUGAACUUUUUCCAGGGUGAUCAUCAGCCUCUGAUUGACCAAAGGACAUGAUCUGAAGAGAUGGCCAUGGACCAAGGGAAACAUGUAGAAGCUUCAUCGCUCCUGACUCUUCUGUGUUCCUGAGGAGGAUGUGGUGCUACUAGGAAUAGGCUGAGCUGCUUCUCCGCUGAACUGCCUUCCUGUACCUGGUAUGGGACAUUGCUCGGGGCUUCAGGGUCGCUCAGCAUUUGGAGAAACAAUGGGCCUUUGGGAUCUUCAGCGUUGCCCUGUCCUUCAAGUCCAUGGCUGAAGAUCUACCUCCAACAUUUUGCUGCACAGUGCCAGAGGGAAAAAUCAAGCAGAAACCCAUUGAAGCCUCAUCACUACGGACUGUAACCUGUUCCAAUGAGAGAUCAGAUGUCACCAGAAACCCACUGUAACCACUCUGGACACUGCUCUUCCAGGGUGCAGGACGUUACUCAGUACGUACCCUUCCAAAGGUUGUCUAUGUAGACAGCAGGACUUAACCAGUUGGGGUCAUGAGGACCAGUGGGUCUAUUGUCCAACCAAGGAGUUCUGAAGUCCCGACCUCCCUUUCUUUUGUAGCAGGUGACUCAAAUCCCACCCACCCUUUCAAAGGUCAUUGUAAAAGCCACCAAUAAAUAGCCGUGAUCUUGUA